rnacentral:rRNA from 1 species
CCCCGUCAAUUCCUUUGAGUUUUAGCCUUGCGGCCGUACUCCCCAGGCGGCGCACUUAAUGCUUUCGCUACGGCACCAACAGUGUCAGAACUACUGAUACCUAGUGCGCAUCGUUUACAGCGUGGACUACCAGGGUAUCUAAUCCUGUUUGCUCCCCACGCUUUCGUGUCUCAGCGUCAGAUUCAGCCCAGUACCCCGCUUUCGCCACCGGCGUUCCCUUGGAUAUCUACGCUUUCACCGCUCCACCCAAAGUUCCGGGUACCCCUGCUGACCUCAAGAAUGGUGGUUUACCGAGCAGUUCCUCGGUUGAGCCGAGGGCUUUCACAAGAUACCUUCCAUUCCGCCUACACACGCUUUAAGCCCAAUGAUUCCGAACAACGCUUGCCUCCUCCGUAUUACCGCGGCUGCUGGCACGGAGUUAGCCGAGGCUUCCUUUUGGGGUUGGUCACUUUCUUCCUAACCCCUGACAGUAGUUUACACACCGAAGUGCUCGUCCUACACGCGGCGUCGCUGCGUCAGG